AUGAAGAAAUUAGAAAGACACAAAAUCAGAAAGAAAUUUCAAACUUAUUAUAAACAAAGAAAUUACACCAGCACAAAUAACAAUACUCUCUCUCUCUCUCUCUCUCUCUCUCUCUCUCUCUCCUCUGCAUUUUCACAAGAAAAACCUCAGAAGGUUCAACAUGCUUGCUAUAUUUGAUUUGCUUUUGGUAUGAUUUUCAUGGUGGAUGUCUCAGUAUACAAACUUGCUUCUAA